rnacentral:lncRNA from 1 species
ACCAAACUUGUUUACUAGGAAGGAAGGGACAGGCACUGGUUCAACUGAUUUGGUGGCAAAAUCUGAUUUGGGAGAUGAUGGGCUGGGAUGAGGUGCAGCAACCUAAGCUCCAAGAGUCUCAGACACAGUCCAGAAAGUGGUUGGCAUCAUGGAGCCCAAGAUGAGGUAGCAGAGACUCAACAGGAAGGCAUAGUAUGGUGACAGGGAACCUGGACAGAACACCAUCCCCUAGGAGAUGCUAGGAAGAAAACCAGAUCUGUCUGUGCAGACCCUCUGUCCUGGCUGAACAGCAUUUGUGGGGUCCCUGUGUUUGCUCAACAUCCCAAAGCCCCCUUAAUUUUAGAUCCGCUGAGCUCUGCUCUUUCUCUAUCCUGCCUGGCCAGCCCCACCUCAUGGCUGCUAGCCUCAGCAUUCUCUCCCGUUCCAAUGAAACUAUACAUCCUCCAAGGUGAUGAUAACUUCGAGAAUCUUCUGGUACUGUGAUUGAAACCCAGUGAGUACUCUAGCUACAAGACACUGGCCUGAGACAAUGCAUUUUCUGUGAUGACAGCAGAGGGAGCCCCUUCUCUCCAGUGUUUCAAAGCGAUUUGCUAUUAUUCUGUUUAAUAUAAUAACUGAAAGUCUCUAU